rnacentral:snRNA from 1 species
GUGCUUGCUUCAGCAGCACAUACACUAAAACCAGAAGGAUACAGAGAAGAUUAGCCUGGCCCCUGCACAAGGAUGACACGCAAAUUCGUGAUGCAUUCCGUACUUUU